GAUGAACGCUGGCGGCGUGCCUAAUACAUGCAAGUCGAGCGAACAGACGAGGAGCUUGCUCCUCUGACGUUAGCGGCGGACGGGUGAGUAACACGUGGAUAACCUACCUAUAAGACUGGGAUAACUUCGGGAAACCGGAGCUAAUACCGGAUAAUAUAUUGAACCGCAUGGUUCAAUAGUGAAAGACGGUUUUGCUGUCACUUAUAGAUGGAUCCGCGCCGCAUUAGCUAGUUGGUAAGGUAACGGCUUACCAAGGCAACGAUGCGUAGCCGACCUGAGAGGGUGAUCGGCCACACUGGAACUGAGACACGGUCCAGACUCCUACGGGAGGCAGCAGUAGGGAAUCUUCCGCAAAGGGCGAAAGCCUGACGGAGCAACGACGCGUGAGUGAUGAAGGUCUUCGGAUCGUAAAACUCUGUUAUUAGGGAAGAACAAAUGUGUAAGUAACUAUGCACGUCUUGACGGUACCUAAUCAGAAAGCCACGGCUAACUACGUG
rnacentral:rRNA from 1 species